rnacentral:rRNA from 1 species
GUGUCAGCCGCCGCGGUAAGACGGAGGGCGCUAGCGUUGUUCGGAAUCACUGGGCGUAAAGGGCGCGUAGGCGGCCCGGUCAGUCGGGUGUGAAAGCCCGGGGCUCAACCCCGGAAUUGCAUUCGAUACUGCCGGGCUGGAGACCGGAAGAGGUGGGUGGAAUACCCAGUGUAGAGGUGAAAUUCGUAGAUAUUGGGUGGAACACCGGUGGCGAAAGCGGCUCACUGGUCCGGUUCUGACGCUGAGGCGCGAAAGCGUGGGGAGCAAACAGGAUUAGAUACCCUGGUAGUCCACGCCCUAAACGAUGUGCGCUAGAUGUCGGGGACGCUCGUCCUCGGUGUCGGAGCCAACGUGUUAAGCGCACCGCCUGGGGAGUACGGCCGCAAGGUUAAAACUUAAAUGAAUUGACGGGG